CCACAUUGAAUAUUGGAACAUUUAAUUGCGCUAAAUCGUUUCAUUAAAAAAAUAACCUUUUCAAACUUAUUAAAUUAAGGCAAAUUUUAAAAAAUGGUAAUAUUUUUGACUGUACAAAUUGCUACCUCGAAAAUACAAUCAAUGUGUCUAAUGAAUAAUUUGUUUUAUAAACACUUUUUUGUUUACUUCUCAUUUU
rnacentral:ncRNA from 1 species